UAUGGCCACAUCACGUUGAAAUACCAAUUCCUGUAUGAUCACUGAAAUUAAGCAAUGUUGAGCCUGAUUAGUACCUAGAUGGGUAAUCACUUGGGCUAUACCAGGUGUUGUAA